UAGUAAGUAGUCUGUCCGAAAUCUCCUAGUUCUGGACUGUUCCAUCCAUGCACAUGCAUCAUCACAUAAUUAAGUGGCCACCCUCUCCUACUCAUGUGGUGUGUGCCUCAUACCCGGCAAGUGGCUUGGUUGGGGCCUCAGGUCUUACAUGUUAGGUUUGGCCAUCCUCUACUACUCAUGUGGUGUGUGCAAAGGGCGGUGUUCCUUUCGGCCGGCCUGGCUAGCUUUCUCCGUGCAGUCACUUGCACUGGAUGCUUUUAUAUUCCUUCCAUAUGCAUGCAUUUUCCUCUACUAAUAUGCAUGGUCUCUUGCUGCUCCCUUGGGCAUGGAGUUCUCUGUUCCCUUCUUACUCUACAUGUCUUACAAAUGCUAUAUUUGGUUAUCUUUCUUGACCUUCAGGAAAAAACUAUAUAUGUUCUCGCAACUGAAUUUUGUUUGUAAUUUAUGUGGCCUUGCAAAUGUAGUAGCAUUGACUUCUUUACCAUUCUUUGGAAUCUAGUUACUUGACUAAUCCAUGAACAUAUUCUUGUUCCGUCACUCAUUUCACUUACCGUAGCCAAUCAGGCGCUUUGCUUUUUCAUAUACAUAUCAUUGUGGAAAGAGCACAUGCUCGUACGUGCUAGCAUUUCCCUUUGUCUGAACAAAUAUUAUCUUCUUUUGGCUAUCUUGUUCAAUAGUAUUAUCCUUAAGCUUGUUUCGCCUACACAAGGCAUGAACUCCUCACUCAAAUCUUGCAGAGUAUUUCUAGGACCCCUUUCUGAUAAAUAUUAACCAAUCUGGUUAAACUUUUAAUGAGAUUAACUUGCUCAGAGCAUCAAUUGUAAUUGCAACUCAGUCAAACUGGUCAUAAAGGAAACCAUUGGUUUCUGAAAGCAACAUGCAAAAAAAACUAGGUCUUAGUUUUUUUUUACGUUUUAACAUCUUUUUUGUGUGAAAUACCUGACGUUUUAUCCAAGAAUGAUUCAGUCAUGUACUUUAAACACGACCAAUAUAAUCUCCCUUCGCGUAUGACCUGAUCGCAAUUUGUUUCACCAAGAAAAAAAAUUCAAAAUGGUGUUGCUUAGAGAUGUUUCACGUGGCGGCUGUAGUAGUGAACUGCUGUCAGGUUUAUCACUUAUAUAAACACAGGUUUAUCACUAUAUAAACACAGGUUUAUUUUUCUGGCUUUAUCAGUUGGUCUUAUAAAGAAGGUGAAGAAAGGACAGCAUCAGAAUAUAGCCUACAGUCCAUCUGGUAACUAACCUCAAAAGCAGCGCGCCUUUAUUAGGCUUUAUAAGCUACUGUAUAGUAUGUUUUAACCACAGCAUGCCCUUAAUUGGCAAAAAAAGGAGAUGCCACAGUUGGGACGGGAGACUAAUUUGUCCGGAAUACCAAAAAAAGUGUAGUAAGCAGGCAGCUAGAGCAUGCUUUUGCUCAAGAUUUGCGCGUAAAGCUUGCGGGCUCAGUCCCUUAAAGCUUGCUGUCCUUUCGACGGGCAUAAGGUGCCGCUCAUCUCAACAGUUGAUGUUUUGUUCUCUCCUUUCGCAUAUGGACGUACAGGACAAAAUUCCAAUCUUAGGUUUCUUCCUAUUGCGCCCCUAGCUAGACUAGAAUAGAUCCGCUUCUAUAUGUCAUUUCCAAAUUAAUGUCCUUCACUGGAAAGACCCUCUUCUGUCGGCAUCUCUUCCAUUACAGGGAACAUUCAGACUUGUUACACUGUGAGCCAAGCAUUUCUAUUUCCUUUGUGGAUUUCAUUUUCAGCCAUUAAAUCCAUCCAUGCCUAUAUCAAUCCAUGGUACUGCUGCUAACACCUCCAAAUUCCAAUCCACCCCCACCAUUCCCAAGCAUUAUCGCUCUCCUCCCACUAUAUAAGCUGCACCAUUGCCCACACUCUUGUUGCAUAUAAACACAAGCCAAGCCGGUGAUGUAGCAACCGUAGUCGUACUAGUAGUAGUAGUAACACUAGGCGUUGCAAUCCACCUUAGCUUCCUUUCUUGUUGAGAAGCCACAGCCCAGUCAAGCAUGAGUUCGUCGUGGACAUUCAAGCAGAACAAGGUGUUCGAGAAUGCGCUGGCCAAGUACGCGGACACGCCAGACUUCUGGCAGAACGUGGCGUGGGAGGUUGGCGACGGCAAGUCGGUGGAGGAUGUGAUUAGGCACUACGCGAAGCUGGAAAAGGACGUGGACGAACCGGCCCUGAAAGAGAUGCUAAGGCACUACGAGGAGCUGCAAAACCGCGCCGGCGGCAGCAGCAGCUCCAGCCGCGGUGGCAGCACCGAGGCGCAGAGGUAGCCAUGGUACCUCAAGACCCAGUGAUGGCUGGGCUGGUGCAGGAAGGACCUAAACAGACCUCCUCCCUUUCCAGCAUGAAACCACUACUACUAGAUACACAUGACCCCAUGGUGAUCGUGAUCCGGUCAUGUACCUAAAGUAGCUAUAGCUAGCGCUUCCUCUCCGAUGAUGAUGACGACCACGACGAGAAAAAAGGUCCGGGACGUAAUCAAGCCCCGCAUCGGAGCUGUAUCUUUCGUAUAUUUUGUACCCAUUGUCUACGUGUAUAUGACCCACCACAAGCCCCUGUCCCCGGCUAUGGGUCUAACGCUGGUACCGCCGGAGGUAUCGGACGCGACGGGCGCCUGUAUCUUGUAGUGGUCUGUCUCCCUGUCGAAUAAUCUGUUAUCUGAUAUAUAUUGCCUAAUGGAAAUUCCGGUGUACGGAUUAUUUAUCUGUUUUACUAAAAUACAUCUAGAUGUGCCCUAGGUAUUGCACAUCUAAG